AUAUAUUUGUGAGUGUACAAGUAUAAUUAGUUAUAGGGGAGAAAGAUGUUGGUCUUUUCUCGAAGACCACAAAGGUUCAUGCCUUUUGCGAAUUGAUUUUGAUUUAUUGUAUUGAUCAGCUUUGCCAAGUCAUUUUUUGGUAUUUAGCAUUCCCAAAUUUUUAUAUUUAGCUAAUUUUAAUCUUGACCUGAUUUGCUCUGCCCAAUACACGCAUGAUGCCUUUUCUUUUCUAUCAACUGGAUGUAGGUUUAGUUUACCUUUUAGACUUUGUGUUAGACUAGCCUUUCCUGUAUAUACGUUCUUUGAUGGAUCAGCUGCGUUCGAUUGUAGGUAAUGUAUAUACUUUCUUUGAUGGAUCAGCUGCGUUAGAUUGUAGGUACUGCUGAGCACAAAGUUGUAUUUGGAUAUGAUAUUAGAUUUACCAUCAUUUUUUUUGCUAAUUUUAAUCUGAUGCAAAAGAGUUCAGUAUAUUUAAAAUUUGGUUUCAUAUAGAAGCCCAUCAUUGGAAUCAGUAUACUUCUGUGUAUGAUCAUGCUUUUUAGGAAUUGAUAUUCCAAUCAAUCUGUUGAUGCGGUGUUUGUCGGAGGCGAAGGGUAGCGACGGGUUCAUUCUGAGGUCGUCUUCCUCGAGAUACAUUCAUGCGUCACUUCAGUUCACCUUACCACAAAUGCUCAGCCCGCAGAUCUGCUCUCUCAUCUGAGUAUGUAUGCCUUGUAUCUUGCAGUUCUUCCUAAGCGAGUAUUAUUGCAGAUCCCAGAAGAAGACUAUCUUCUACUUAUUUCCACCACCAUAAUACUUUCUUCAUUGGCAUGAUUACUGCUACAACCAAACUUAGAAUCAUGCUAGCAUUGCAGGAAAAUCUUCCUCAAAAGCUCAUUUGUAGCCCUCAAUCAACUCGCUGCAAUUGAGGCCGACGACACGACGAAGGAGCUAUAGGGGAGGGGGAGGAGGCCGAUGACAGGGGGAAGGAGCAGGUCGGUGAGAAGGGCAAGCGGAGUAACCUGCUCUAAUCAUCAGUUUCUUUGCUCAUAAUUUGGUGCACAUUUGCUUGCAGUAUCUUAUUUUGUCCAUUUUUCUUGCACGAGUUGUGGUGUGAAGAGAUUUAGAAUACAACUGAUGAUAGCCUCUCUGCUCUAUAUUUUGAAAUGUAUAAUCCUUGGGUGAUGUUUAGGUCUAGAUGUUGGUAUUUUCAUCCAUAAAAAACCGUGAAGUUGUAUGUGCAUUUCCUGCUAUGCAUCUCUGCAGAUAUUUGAUUGAUGCACCUUUUUCUGUAUGCCCAGUUUUGCGCCCCGUGUGUUGUUCGGGCGUUGAGGGCCAUUCUUUCUUAUGUAGGCUCGGAUGCAUGGUGCAAGGCAGUAAUAGAGGCAGUGGAUCGAGAGAAGUGGAGAAGAGGGUUCCUCCAAGCUCCAUCCAUGAAUGGCGCCGGUCCAAUGCUCAGGGUGGCAUGUGGCAAUGUCGGGGACCAGCGAGGAAGAUGACCGGUGUACAUCCUUUGGAAUAAAAUUGAAGACAUGGUGAGUCUUGUGGCGCGAAGCCAACAACACGCAGCGGCAAGUGAGCACACUGGCUUGAGCCGCAAUACACCAACACCAUCAGGAGUUCAAAUUAUUCUGUACCUCAAGGUGAACCAAUCUAUCCCCGGAGAGCAUAUUUUUCUUAAUUCUACAAUAGAGGAUGUCGUGUUUUCCAUUUUUUGCUUUAAUGUGGGCUGGUUAGGCUGUUUUGGUUUUAAUGCCUGACCAUAGAGAGAGGAACAGCGGACAUUGAGGAUUGCGGUGGCAGAUUUUUUAAUUUGUGUUUGCUUCAAGGAUUCUCAUUCAUCUUAACUUCCAUUUACUCAAGACAAUUACAACAUUGGUAAAGAAACUUUUUUUUGUUCUGUUUUUUGUUAUAUGAUACAGCCCAAUAGAACUGAAGCAACUAAUUUAUUCAUGAAAAUGGUUGGUUUAAAGCUCGAAAGCUCAUACUAAGAUGGCUUUUUUCAUAACUUCAUGAUGAAGUAAAAUAAAGCUUAUGACAGAAGAAACAUGCUUGGAUAGGCGUCCUUGUUGACCUCGCCGUCUCCAACCGAUCCUUGGGUAUUGCAGCUCCUUCCAAUCAGUUUACUCCUUUUUGACAAUUUCCUUACAUGAGCCUUGGAGAUAUGCACUGAAUCGGCUAAUGUUUUAUCUGGGAAUUUCCUUUUGUAGAGAGGAUGUCUUGCCGAAUGUAGUUUUCAGUUCUUGAUCUUUUUUAUACAAGAUAUCUAAAUACUGUAAUGACUCUUGCUGGGAAGAAGGUUGUCAUAUAAGGGGAAAACUUUAGAAGUUACGCGACGUCAAUUAAAUCAUGUGCAACUUGUUUGCUUCCUUGUUUUUUUAUUGCAUUCGAGAUCUUUACUAUUCUCACUGUUGAAAAUGCAGAGCAGAUCUUUAGUAUCUUGAAUUAUCAGUUAAAUUUGUUAGUUGUGAGAUGCAUAUGAUUCUGCCUUCAUUCACAACCAUUCAUGUGGUUUAUUUGGUUUGGUUGGUCACUAUUGGUACUUUCAUGCCAUCUGAUUAUGUGGUAGACUGCUUCUGAACUAUGUGUGGGGCCGGGUGUUGUCGGCCAGACCUAGGCGCCCUCGCCGGUGACUUGCUAUCUAACCCAUCCACAGGUUUUCCCUCUCUUUGAUUUUCCUGUCCAAGUCCAUGAUUUGGUUUAUCUUGGUUGGCAUGCUUUUUUAUGUUACCUUGGUGGUCGAUGCAAUGAGAGGUGCAAAUGCAAGGCAAGACGACAUUAUAUAGGUUGUCCUGUGAGUUAGAAUAUCCAUGUGCUACUUAUUGUGGUGCGGCAUCAAGCAUGUUGAUUGAUUCUGAAGCAUGAGUAAUCUGUAGUAAGCUGUGUGUACAGAUUCCUGAUUAUUCUGUAUGAUCCUCUAUUUUUUUUCCUUUAUGAUCCUCUUUAUUGUGGUGCCACACCAAGCUUGGGUUAUUUACUUGCUUUCACUGUGAUUUCUGGGGAGGGCACUUUAUUGAUUUCUCAAACCUUGGAUCUAGACAUGUAAAUACUUAAACGAUUAUUUUGCUUUUCGAUUAAAUAUGAUACUUACUAAACCUGUCUAUCUUAUACAAGCUGCAAUCUGUUCUAAAAAUUCUGUUUAUAAGGUACCAUCAGCUAUGACCCUAAUGGACCCCGAAUAAAAAGGAGAAAACAUUUGACACUUAUCAUGGCCAACCAUGAAACCGUGUUUCGAAACUGCAUCAUAGCACAUAUUUCAACCAUUGUUUCCUGGUUUGUAAUAUGUACUAGCCUUCUAAAAAAGACUGAGGCUGCACUUGUUCCUGUUAGGUACUUGUAGCAAAUAUUUACUAACUUUUGUUCUUUCGAUCAGAUAAUAAAAGUUUCAUGUCUCUUAAUAAAUUUCAGGUUGUCAUGUUACAAAAAGGCCUAUCUACAAAUAGGUGGACAAGAUAAAACAUUAAAAAUAGACUAGAGCAUUUUCCAUCUCCAUUGAUAAGAAAUAGGUGAAAAGAAAUUAAACUUACUCUUUUCCUUCCUUGCUUAAACGUCUUGUGCUGCUAUGUAGAAGAGGUAUAAUCUUUUUAUAUGGUGAAUCAUGAAGAAACUUAUAAUAGCACGGUGCUAUCAUCUAUGGUAUUGGUGAAUUAGUAGUCAUAGUGGUUUAGGAUAGUUUUUCAUGUGUUGGCUAAUUGGUUAUUGGUUGUAAUUGUUAGUUUCUCUUCACAUAUGAACCAUGCAUACUUGCUGGUGGGUGAUCCAAAAAUGGUCUCAACCAAUAAAACUUUUAGCUAGUAUGUAAGAAUUAGAGUUCUGGAUAUGGAUAGCAGACUACUUUUGAUGGUACUCAGUUUCUUGAAUCCUGUACAUUUCGCAAAAAUAAUAUAUUGCUUUCGAUGUUUUGGAUUUUACCAUGUGAGUGCCUCUGGAGAGAUUGUUUAAUUGCUUUCUUAUGCUUCCACCUAUUUUCUUCUAGAACGAUGAUGUGCUUUCUGCUAAAAUUGUACACUAUGGUGUUGACAAGCAUGAAUUAUUUGCUUUCCUCACAUACGGUCGUAAGCCUUAUCAACUUGAUCAUAGUGUUCUCUUUUUAUUUGUUAGUGGCAUAAUUGAAGGGCGAAACUACCAGCUGGUGAAGGAGAGGAUAUGUAUUCGGCGUGUCCUGAAGAGGUAGUCCACGAACCGGCAAUGGAGGAAAUAAGGUAGAGACGGCAAUAGCAGCGAGUACGUUAAGCGCUAGGGAUGUGGAUAUGGUGUGGCAUAAAGAGGUAGUCCACAAACCUCUGCUAGGCCUAGGUGCUCCUCUCUCACCUCUUGCAUCAUUUGGGGAUAUUCCUUCAUUAUUUGGUUAUCUGUCAAUGCUCGGUGUCAAUGCUUGGUCCUAUUUCCCACCUUGUGCUUUGACUUCUUGCAUUUUUUUCGUCUAAGUUAUUAGGCUACUACUGCCUGGUUUGCCCAUGAUGAACCGCUAAUUAUGAUGCACUGCUGGCUGGUCUGUCUUUUUUUAUGCUUUUUUAGUGAUAACAUUGAGACUUAAUGUUUACUACUUCAUUUCAAAGUUUUAAAUUAAGACAUCACGGUCAAUUUAUAUGGUCUUCUGAAGUUUCACCUUCCCUCUGUCAUAUUGGUUUGCUCAAAUCAAUGGGAAGCCGGCAUUACUUUGAUGUGCUGGCUUACAGUCUUAUUAAGUACUCCCUCUUCAAACUAAUACAAGAGCUUUUAGAUCACUCCUUACUUUUUAGAUCACUAAAAUAGUAAUCUAAAAGGUCUUACAUCUUAGCGUACAUUUAACUACUUUAUUUGC